rnacentral:tRNA from 1 species
GUCCCUGUAGUAUAUCGCACAUUACCCUGGCCUUGUAAACCAGAAAAGGGGGAAAACGUUCCUCCCAAGGACU